GUUUAUACUGGAGCUGUUAUGGAAUAGACCUAGUGAGCCCUUCCCUUGCAUUAGUGCCACUUGCCAGGAGGCAAGGCAGCUGCCACAAGCUCUGGAGUGGGGGGUUCCUUCUUGAUUCCACACCAGUGAGGUGUCUCAGUAGCCUACUACUCUUCAGGACAGACAGAUAGAGUGGACAGUCCCUGAGAACCGUCUGGAGGAAGGAAUUCUGCAGGUGGGUGGGGAAGCCAGGCAUGUAGGGAAGUAGGUCAUGCCUCCAGACAGGCAUAAGCACUGGUAAGGUUGAAUGAGCUCAGACCUGGGAAUCUCAGUGAUUUGAGAACGGCAGGAGUGGAGCUGCUUCCGGAGGCAGGGCAGCCUAUUGAGAAGACCACAGUCAUGUGGUAGCACCUGGAGUCUUUCCCCAUGCAGAUAGAGCAUCAUUAGCAUCUCAAACUCAGCCAGUGGAAAACAUCUACCCUCGAGAUUCCAUCCCACUCCUGAAGGAUUCAAGGAUAAAGCUGUCUACAGUCAGUUGCUGGGAGUCUUCAGCUUCAAUGAGGCCAUAGACAUCCCUCCGCCUGUGUGGUUCUGAUUCUCCCUCGCCCACAUUAGCAUCAUCCCUGAGCAGUAUCUGUAAUGUAAGUAAACAUGCAGGGGGUGGUAGGAGUAAAUACAUUUGUUUAGAACGGCCAGAAACACAUGCUGCAAACAUAAACCACAUUUAGCCCCAGACUCUAUUAAGUAGCUGUAUUUGAGUUAAUGAAGAUGAGAUAGAGUAUGGAAAUACCUCUAGACCACCUCUGGAGAAGACAACUAGACAACUCGAAGCUUUAGCAUCAACAAAGUUCACCUUGCUACAGAAAGUCUGUCCAUCAAAGACUUGGGGUUGGCCUUUGAGGAUGGGUCUCAGGCAUCCAGACCUUUCCAUCUCAAGACCAUAAAGCACAAGUGACGUGGCUGGGAUAGCACUUACCUGCUAGACUGUACUCACCUAGAACAGAGACAUCCAGGUAUAUCUGCUGGGAAGUGAGGUCCCACCUCAGGCUUGCGCUGAUGGACGAGAGGACUAGUCAGCUUCCCCCUGGAGUGUGUAGCCUGCAGUCAGGCUAGAGUUGCCAUCAAGAGCUGGCCCUGGACAGUGGCGAGUCAGCAUCUCGUGGUGUUUUGUUGGCUGUUCCCAUACCGCCCAUCACCCUGCCACAUGAGGGAGAGCCUAGAAAAGCAACACUGUUCUUGACACCAUAAGAAAACUACACACUCAACCGAAUCUGUCUGGAAAAGGUCAGGACAUUUGGGAAAGGUCAGGGUUCACAGCUGUGAACAUGGAGGCAGGCAGCAUUCUGCUCAGGAUGGCUUCUGCAUACACAGCAGGAGACAAAGACUCUAAGCUCCCCAGGCCAGGCCUUGCUCCUCUCCAUCUCCUCAUGUCUCUUUCUCUUACUUUCUUGAGGAUAAAGGCAGCAUACAGUUUUCAGAUCUUCCCCAAAGAAAGCCUGUCUAAGUAGCACCCUUAAGCAGUUUUACUAUGGUGGCAUUGAGGUACAUCAAGGUAAAGUCACACAGGAUUCUGACAGUCUGUGGUCACCCGGUAAAGGCACCCAUGUGUGACUGCUGAGAUGUAAGGUAAUCAGGUACUCUGGGGCCUUGCAGAGGGACCCUGGCUUUCAUUGCUCAGUGGCUGCUGCUUUCCACAGGCUAACAGGCAAGCAUUUGAGGCGGAUGAUGUGUAGAAGUGUUAGAUAAUAUUAUAGUUGUCAGAGUAAAAAAAGAACGGGGUAGGAUCGGCAUACAACCUCCAGAGCGCCAACAAACAUCACCAAAAGGGGUCAGGGCAUCAGACAGGGCAGUGUGGUAAACUGUGCUGUUCCUUAGAUGUCUAACACCACCUGCUGGAGCGUCCCGCUCGCCUUCCCCGGGGGAGAUCAGAACUCAGAGCUUGAAGUACAACUUCUACAGGAUGCACGGCAUUCUUACACCAUUGUACAGUUGGGAAAAAAUGGAAAUGCAGCCAUUAGAAGUUAGGGACUUAUGUUAUUUGCAAGGUGAAAGUGGUGCUUCACCCCUAUAUUCCCAGAGCUGGGGACUGCCCAUCCAGCUUCAACUGCUGGGUUAGUUCUGGGCCAAAAUAAGUAAGUUAAAUAAACAAACAAAAAAGUGGAUAGCAUACACCUGACAAAUAUGUGAGGUUGCUCACUGACCUCUGACUUCUGUGUACAUACAUGCACAUGUGAACACACACACUUUGUGAAAAGGCUCAGAGGCUCCUGCAUGCCCAUCUCUCGACAGAAAAACAGGCCAGCCACUCCCUCCACACAAACACUUGCGGGGCACCGGUCUGAGCACCCAGUAAACGCAAGUUUUCUUGGAUGAUUUGGGUUGAAUGAUUUUUCAAAGCACUCCCAGCGAUCCAUUCUUUACAUCCUGGAAUUAAAAGUGCUUGACUCCAGUGAUUUACACAUCACAGAACCAAUACUGUGUGAGUGGGGCCAGAGCUGGGGUAGAGUCUCAGAAGUCAUUUCUCUUUUAAACUCAGAAGGUAAAGUCCAACCCCAAGGGGCUGUGCACUCAGAUCCCUGUUUAUCUCCAAUACAGUUUCUUUUGAAAAAAGCCAAUAUCUCAGAAAAAGAUUAAAUCAAUAGCUUGGCAUGUGAGACAUUUGGUCUGGGCUUCAGGGAGGAUGCCCGUCAUGAGCAAUGAAAAUGUCUUAAUCAGAGGGCCACAUGCUACAGGUGUGGCCAGCGGUCACUGAGGUGGCCCCUGAUGACCCUGGAAUUCACAGCUUGUGUUAUGCUGUAUCCUUGAGGAUGGCCAGGCAUGCAUGGUUACUUGAUCUAAGAGACAGAAUAGAGCAUGUGAUAGGAUGUCAGUGCUCUUGUACCUCAGUCGGCACAGCACCUGCCUCCUCUCUUUCUAGGACCCUGGGUAAUGGGUGUGCUACAGUGCCCAGAUUUCAUGUGAGUUCUGAGGAUUCGCAUCCAGAUCGCCACACGUGCAUAACAAAGUCUUUGACCACUAAGCUAUUCCCAAAUCCCAAUGGGCCUUUUAUUUAAUUAUUUUUCUCUUCCCCAAACUGAAAAAUGCAUUUAGAAAAGAACUAUUCUUUAUCUAGUAAUUUAUUCUUCUAAUGACAUAGCCUAGGACAAUGAGUAUUACUAAACCUUUGUGUAAUGAAAUGUUCAUCUUAGGCUUGCUUGCAGAAGAAAACAUUUCAAUGUCUCCAAGAAAGGCUAAGAGAUAUGAUUCUGUCUAAGUGCUACAACAGUGAGUAAAUAUUCAAGACCUUAUUUCUAAAGAGAAAACAUUUGUAUCAUGGUGUUAUCGCAGGUGAGAAGGACGUAGAGUAGACCUCCCUGCGUGGGGUAGAUUUUUCUCGAGAGCAUUAACAAAUGAUGUCUACUGAUCUUUCUGGAAAAAUACAACAACUAUCUAAUUGUAAGUAUGUUUGCUUUUAUGUUCAUGAGGAAAUGGACAAACCAGAACCAGAGCCUGCCCCAGCUCAAGAAGUUUGGGAAGGGCUUGGUGUUUCCCCAUGAAGUGCCUAGAGCCUAUAGAAGCCUUUGUCAAGGUGAUAGAGGCGUGGGAUGAGACCGCCUCAGUCACUCCUGCAUGUGUGCUGAGGUAUGGACAAAUGGUGAGAAGUGGACCGGAAGGCCAACAAGAUGGUCCAGCAGGUGACCCAAGGCUGGUGACUCAAGCUCAAUGCCUAAAACUCACAUGCAAGGAGAGGAGAGAACUUGUUCCUACAAAUUGUCCUUUGGUUCGGUUCCCUAGUGUGCUGUGGUACACACACACACACACACACACACACACACACACACACACACACCCAUAAGAAAUAAAUUUCGAAACAUACAAAACAAAAUAUGUAUGAUAAGUUCCAGGAUAUUUGUUAAUUUCCUGUUAUUUUCCCCCCCAAAUGGAAUAGUUAGUUCUCAUCGUGAUUAACAUUAAAAGUGUGUUAGGGCCACUAGCCCUUCUUACCCAGUGUCACCCAAAUUCAUGGCACCCAGGCUGUCUAGCAUGGUGGCUGUUGUUUGCAAAGGAACAAUGGUUUCCUGGGCCAGCUGGAUGCUGGCUCUCUUCCCUCAUCUGGAUUCUUCCUGGGUACUUUCAACAGAGGAUGCUCAGAGGAUAUAGCCAGCAUCUGCAGGGCAGGCAGAGACUGCAAGCAAGGAAGUCCCUGGCCACGUCACUGGGAUGUGGCUCUUUAUUCUCUAGUCUCAGACUGAGCUGCUCUCCUUUGCAUGUGGGGGUGAGCCCGGCUCUUACUCUGGUUCUGAUGGUUGGCUAAAUGCUAAUCUCGGGAACCUGAGCUUCCUACUGAGGCUCCUAAGAAUAGGGUUACCCUAGCCAAACAGUCACUGGUGGGAACAGCUGACUGUGAGUGCUUUUAAGUCCUGGAAUCACUCUUAACAAGGCAAAACGAAGCACACCCACUAUCUUUUCAGCCUUUGGGUUAGAUUGUACAUUUGAGGAUGCUGCCAAGCUUCCAGGCAGCAGUUGGAGAACCAGUGGGUACACAAUAAACACUUUACCCCUGUUCCUUGCACUCAGCUGGGUGCUGUUAAGAUCCUGGGGUACUACCUGCAGUCAAGCACAGAUCUACAGGGCUGUUUUCACUUGGCUGGUUCUGUAUCUUAGGCAUGGUGGGGGCGUGAGGUGGGUGACUUUUCAGCUGCUUUCAAAGCCUUGUGGAUAAACAUGUUUAAUCACUUGAAAGUGUCUCACAAAGAGAAAACACAAAUUAUGAGUUCUGAUUACUAGCAUUGGUGAAACUUUCUCACGUUUUGGGCUGCCUAGAAUCCACACCCUUUUUACCAAGUGGGAUCUUCCUUACAAGGCCUGAGCUGCCUUUUACUAUGGUACCAAAUAUCCAGCUAGUCUCUUUCUAGUCAUCCUUGCAGACAGAGCAAAGAUAUGUGACCAGGUACUAUAUCAAUGGUUAUACCAGCAACAAGCUUUGAAUCUGAAUCUAGUGGGAGAAGCCACCAGAAUUCUGGGGCUCAGAGAUGCUGGUAUUCAGGGAGGCUGGGGCUCAGGGAGGCUGGGACCCAGGGAGGCUGGGGCUCAGAGAUGCUGGAGCUCAGGGAUUCUAGGGCUCAGGCAGGCUGGGGCUCAGGGAGACUGGGACUCAGGGAUUCUAGAGCUCAGGGAGGCUGGAGCUUGGCGAAACUAUCUUAGUGAGGACUGGAAAGAGGGAUGCUGGAGCUCAGAUCUGCUAGAGAUCUGUGCCCUCUUAAAGUGUUUGAAACAGUGAGAGAUAACCACUCUUCCAUCCCCUCUGUGAUGAGAGCAUCAGGGGCCGUACCAGACCCUCCCAUUUCCCACAAGCAUUAGUAAAUGACACAGAGUAAGAGUCCAGCUCUGUCCUGUCCAAAUCCCCACUACCUGUGGGGUUGGGUAUCUGGGCAUCAGAAAGAAUGGAGGAAGUGAUAGGACCUAAGUCAGAAUCCAGAGACUGUCCCUGUUCUGUGACCAUGGUCUUUUUCCUUUCUCCAACCCUCUCUUCUCAAUAUCCAUAGACCAACACAGUGACAUCAUGGCCUUGUGAUAUUAAAACACAAAUCACCCCUCAGAGAUCCCUGCUGUGAGUGCUCCCUUCUCUAAUGUUGUUUCAUCCAAAUUAGAAGUAUAUAUCAUCUUUAUGUGCUUUCAGAAGUCAUUAAAUAAGCCAUCAGAGUGGCAGUGGCCACCAAGACAAGUGACAUGAACAUUUUAGGAGUGUUUAGGGACUGUUAUUUCUAUAGAUCAUAUGGGAACCAGGCAGGAUCUGGUGAGGUAUUGAGCUAUGUUCUCUCCUUCACCAGAUAAAAGCCUGUAAGGCACAGCAAGGUGAGGGACCCACUUGGGGUUAGGCCAUCAGAUGCAGUGCCUAGCAACCACUCAUAGUCCCUAUCUGUGCAGGGCUGUUCCAAGAUCAUCACUGGUGAAAUUCCUGCAGCCAAUCAGAAGUCCUGAGCUGUGGGCUUUUAAGAUCUUAUUUUUGAGAUGCUUGGGGCAAAGUCGAGAAAGCGACACAGCACAGCUUCGGGCUCAUCCUCUUCUUAGUCCACGUUUCGUUUUUAAUUUUACUUUUUAGGUUUAUUUAUUUUAUUUAAUGAGUAUGAGUGGUUUGCCUGUCUGUGCACCACACACAGACCUAGAACUGGAGUUACAGGCUGUUAGGAGCCACCAGGUAGAUGCCAAUUACUUAGCCUGGGUCCUCUUCAAGAACAGUCAGUGUUCUUAACUUGUGAGGAAUCUCUCCAGCCCUGAUAUAAUUUUUUUUUUUGGAAGGGGGUUGGUUAUAGAAGUCAACCCUAGAACCUCGAGCAUGCUGGGGAAGCACUCUAUCACUGAGCUCUAAUUUGUCAAGAAUAUUACUUUCAAUUAGCAGACUUUGGGGUUGGAAAGGUGACUCCGCAGUAAGGACUUGUACUGCUCUAGCACAGGACUCAAGUUUGGUUCCCAACCCUCACAUCAGGUGACUCGCAACUGUCAUUUCAGCUCCAGAAAAUCCAGACCCUCUGAUCUCCAUGAGCUCCUGCGACCAUAUGCGCACACUCCACAGUGGCAUGGAAAGAGAAAGCUUUACAAUUGGUUAGCAGAUGUGCUGGCUAGGUUUCACGUCAGCCUGAUCCCAGCUAAGUCACCUGAGAGGAGUGAGCCUCAAUGAGAAAAUGUCCCCAUGAACCAGGCCACAGGCAGGCCUGCAGAGCCUCCUCUUGUUUGUUUUUAUGUUUGUUUUCUGGGACAGGGUUUCUCUGUGUCACCCUGGCUUUCUUGGGACUUUCUCUGUAGACUAGGCUGGUCUCAAACUCAGAACUCUGUCUGCCUCUGCCUCCUGAGUGCGGGGAUUGAAGUUGUGCACCUCCAUGUCCAGCUGGUAGGACACUGUCUUAAUCAGUAGCUGUGGGGGAGGGUCUAGCCCAUUGUGGGUGGUGCUAGCCCUGAGCUGAUGAUCCUCAAUGUUAUAAGAAAGCCAGAUGAACAAGCCAUGUGGAUAAAGUCAGUAAGCAGCACCCUUCGUGGCCUCUGCAUCAGCUCCAGCCUCUAGGUUCCUGCCCUGUGUGAGUUCCUGUCUUUACUGCUUUUGAUAGCAAACGGUUAUAUGGAAUUGUAAGUGAAAUAAACCCAGUUGUCUUUGGGCCUUUGGUCAUGAUGUUUCACCACAGCACUAGUAACCCUAACUGAGACAACAGACUAUGCACCGUGUUUAACAAUAAAAGCUUGGGUUAUUUCCUUUGCAGGACACGGACAAGGAAGCCAGCUGCUGCUGCAGGCACACCUACAGUCCUGAGUAGAUGUGCGUGUGAACACAUGCCACCAUGUGGGAGCAGCUGAGACCCUCUCUAGGACAGGGCAGAGCUCACAGAUGCUCCUCUUCUCAGGAGAGCCUGCAGAGCUGUUUCUCCAGGAUGACUCUCCAUCCCUGAGUCUAACCCUGAGGACAGUCUCUCACCUACGUCUGGUCAACAGCAGAUACAAAGAUACUGCCUACUAAGUUCAAAACCCAAAGAGACAGCACAUACUGGCAAGGAUGUGGAGCAGGAAGAACACUACUCCAUUGCUAGUAGGAGUGCAAAAAAAAAAAAAAAAAGAUACUGCUUAUGCUGUCAACUGGGCAUGGCACCGAACACUGGCCUCUCCACACUGCAGUGCGGUUUGCUCCUGAUCUGCCUGCAAAGGCGCUGGUCCAAGGGUGUACCCUAAUAAAUUUCCACAUG